AUUGAACGCUGGCGGCAGGCCUAACACAUGCGAGUCGAGCGGAUGAAGGGAGCUUGCUCCUGGAUUCAGCGGCGGACGGGUGAGUAAUGCCUAGGAAUCUGCCUGGUAGUGGGGGAUAACGUCCGGAAACGGGCGCUAAUACCGCAUACGACCAGAGGGAGAAAGUGGGGGAUCUUCGGACAUCACGCUAUCAGAUGAGCCUAGGUCGGAUUAGCUAGUUGGUGUGGUAAAGGCUUACCAAGGCGACGAUCCGUAACUGGUCUGAGAGGAUGAUCAGUCACACUGGAACUGAGACACGGUCCAGACUCCUACGGGAGGCAGCAGUGGGGAAUAUUGGACAAUGGGCGAAAGCCUGAUCCAGCCAUGCCGCGUGUGUGAAGAAGGUCUUCGGAUUGUAAAGCACUUUAAGUUGGGAGGAAGGGCAGUAAGUUAAUACCUUGCUGUUUUGACGUUACCAACAGAAUAAGCACCGGCUAACUUCGUG
rnacentral:rRNA from 1 species